UCUCCAUACCAUACUGCACAGCAUCGCCAUAGUCCAGAAAGGGCUUGUUCAACCUAGAACAGAGGGAACAUCAGUCAGGGUAAGAGUGCUGACCUAGGAUCAGGUUUACCCUGUCCAUGGAACCUGACCUAGGAUCAGGUCUACCCUGUCCAUGGAACCUGACCUCGGAUCAGGUCUACCCUGUCCAUGGAACCUGACCUCGGAUCAGGUCUACCCUGUCCAUGGAACCUGACCUCGGAUCAGGUCUACCCUGUCCAUGGAACCUGACCUCGGAUCAGGUCUACCCUGUCCAUGGAACCUGACCUCGGAUCAGGUCUACCCUGUCCAUGGAACCUGACCUAGGAUCAGGUCUACCCUGUCCAUGGAACCUGACCUAGGAUCAGGUCUACCCUGUCCAUGGAACCUGACCUAGGAUCAGGUCUACCCUGUCCAUGGAACCUGACCUAGGAUCAGGUCUACCCUGUCCAUGGAACCUGACCUAGGAUCAGGUCUACCCUGUCCAUGGAACCUGACCUAGGAUCAGGUCUACCCUGUCCAUGGAACCUGACCUAGGAUCAGGUCUACCCUGUCCAUGGAACCUGACCUAGGAUCAGGUCUACCCUGUCCAUGGAACCUGACCUAGGAUCAGGUCUACCCUGUCCAUGGAACCUGACCUAGGAUCAGGUCUACCCUGUCCAUGGAACUUCAUUAAUCAUUAUGGUCUAAAAGGCUAAACUGAAUAAUGAGCCCAGAAUUCAACGACCAUCUAAACACAAAACAAAAAUGACCAUACAAAGUGUUGACCCCAUGUUCACUAAACAUGACAGUGUUCAGCUGGGGGCCUGGUACCUGGUCACGAGUGUGAGGAAUCUGACAGUGGUACACAACAUAGGUUAAUAAUGUGCUUAAUCGUCUAAUAGAGAACAGGGUUGUGAACAAUGGAUGUAGAACAUUCUACAGAAAUGAGAAGUACGGUGCAUUCAGACACCGUGCUCAUUAAACGGUUUGGUUUGUUUUUGUAUUACAAAAUACAAAUGGUUUUCACUUCUCCUAUAAAGGAAACGAACCGCACCAGAUCAACAACAUACCUUGCAGUCUGAACACACCCAUAAGGGUGUGAACACAGUGGACCUAUGAACACAGUGGACCUAUGAACACAGUGGACCUAUGAACACAGUGGACCUAUGAACACAGUGGACCUAUGAACACAGUGGACCUAUGAACACAGUGGACCUAUGAACACAGUGACUGGCUUGGUUCGCUUCAUUAAAAAUCCUGCUUUAUCCAAUACUAGGCUGAUGGUAUAGCUGCAUUUAGGCGACUUUCACUUACGCUAAUCUAUGAACUGAACACAUUUCACCAUUCCAGUUUCCAGGACAACGUGAGAGAUUUCCUCAUAGACGUCAAACUCAAAAAGAGGAAGUGCACAAUGUGAAAGUACUGUACUUCUCUUCUUGAUGCUCGACUCAAACUAGUUGCACAACAGUAUCCACAACAAUAGGAUCCGUUUAUGGAACGACUGAGGUGCACUGCAGGCAGAAGGUGUGAGAAAGGCU